ACCGACUUCCUUGCGGGAAAACUCGGACGGAU
rnacentral:scRNA from 1 species